AAUCAAUAUGCUGCUUUCCGUAAUAACUUUUUAACUCUUACGGAAAAACAACAUAUUGGUUGCGCGGACUUCCGUCGCGCCGCAAGCAUUACCGCGUCCUGUGUGCAGGAGCUAUACGAGUCGCCACCGUCCUCAGAGAGGAAUCGAGCAUGUAGUAUGACUCAACGUUGUAAAAAUAUACGUGUACAUACACGUACUCACACAUCGCACGAGCGUGCGGAACAUUACCCACACAUAUACUUGCGUGCAUAUUGCGCACGGUACGCGGAUUGACAGCUGCCAGCACGAGAAGCAGAAGUGGCGGAUCAUGUAAGGAUAUUCAUCGUGUCAACGAAACAACUUGCCAUCCCAGGUGCGGUUACACUGCCAAGGAUACACUAGACAGUUGGCAGAAUAGGUAGACGCAGGAACAGUGCUGAGAGAAGGAGUGGGCGACCCAAAGGCGUAAUGACACGUCCUCCCAACAAUGACAAUCUUAUGACCUUUAAGUUGGUCGUCGUUGGAGAUGGAGGAGUCGGCAAGAGUGCCCUUACUAUACAGUUCUUUCAGAAACUGUUUGUCGCAGACUAUGAUCCGACCAUUGAGGAUAGUUAUAUUCAACACACGGAAGUGGAUGAGCAGUGGUGCAUCUUGGAUGUGUUGGAUACUGCUGGCCAAGAGGAAUUUAGUGCCAUGCGCGAACAGUACAUGCGGAAAGGCGACGGAUUCCUUUUGGUAUAUUCAGUGACUGACAAACAGUCGUAUCAAAAUAUCGUCAAUUUUUAUACUCAAAUCCUGCGGGUGAAGGACAGGGACGUAUAUCCCAUGCUCUUGGUCGCCAACAAAGUCGACCUGGUGCACUUGAGGAAAGUCACAGAAGAACAAGGGAGAGAAUUGGCUCAUCGUUUGGGCAUAUCUUAUAUCGAAACCUCUGCCAAAGAUCCACCACUGAACGUGGACGCCGCGUUUCACGAGGUUGUUCGCAUUAUCAGGAACCAACCGCCAAAUGAAUUGGAGAAGAAUCAAAGGAAACGACGGCGCUCGAGAAAGUGCAAUAUUUUGUAAGUCCCGCGGAAGAACGGAAGACAUACGUGUAACUCACAUGCAAGAAUCAAGGGCAACGGUGUUACCGAGUUGUAGUCGCGCGACGUCUCUGCUACUUUCUCGAGAAUACGUCCUUGUCGCAUCGUUAAAUUCGGGAGGUCCUUGGGAAAGAAAUGAUUCUGCUCUCCUCCAGUAUAUAUAGAGAAGCGAAGUUUAUAAUGAGGGAGUACUGUAAUGAACGAAACAGAUGAGGCAACCGGAGGAGGCAAUGUCGGGCGAAUAUAGUGGGCGAGGCAAAACAUCCCAGCCGAACUCUAACAAUUUUUACGGAAGCAAAAAAGCACAAUGCACCGGGAAACUCAUUACUGCCUUCCAUUUUCAAGCCGCAACAAAGGCAACCGUACUUCUUUAAACGCAAUCGUUUAUACCAUAAAAUGUGUAUCCGAAAUGUCAGUUACCAAAGCAUAUGCAUAGAUGGCCAAUUAUACACUAACUAUCCUUUUGGUAUGAAUAUGCGAAUGCUAACUAGACAAAAAUCCGUACGAACCGACGCAUCAACCCGAUACAUUCGACGAAUUCGUAUCCGGGAAAAUAAAAUGAUCGAAAAACGGGGCAAUAUAUCGCCUUUGCUACCAGUUAUUUACUUUUGUAUACAUAGAGGUCUGGUGUAGGAAACAUACGUAUCACGUUGAUAGGCUGUCUUCGGUUUAUAACGAAGACAAAAAUAAGCAACGUGAACACGCGACUGCAUGUUUUCGUGACCGUCGUCAAUUUUGCAUUAAGGGACACUUUGUAUUAAGUAUAUAAUUUUUUUUUUCGUUCGUUGUUGUUAUUUAUUAGGAUAAUUCUGAUGCCAAAUAAUUGAUGGCAGUUUAUCAAAUAUAUGAACUUGCGUCAGAAGCUUCCGUACUUGCUCAGUCAGAGAAAUAAAUUGAAUUAAUUUUUUAUUAAAUUCCAGUUAUUUCUUUACUCACAUUGUGAGAGAUCGAGAACACUAAGAAGUAUUAUAUCCGAUCUAUAUGUUGAUUUGUUAUUGCUAUUUGGCAUUGAGUUGUUUAUUUACAUAUAUAUAUAUAUAUAUAUAUAUAUAUGUAUGUAUCUUUCAU